rnacentral:rRNA from 1 species
UAACGUAGGGAGCAAGCGUUGUUCGGAUUUACUGGGCGUAAAGGGCGCGUAGGCGGCAAUUCAAGUCAUCUGUGAAAUCUCCCGGGCUUAACUCGGAACGGUCAGAUGAUACUGCUUUGCUAGAGUGCAGAAGGGGCAACUGGAAUUCUCGGUGUAGCGGUGAAAUGCGUAGAUAUCGAGAGGAACACCUGCGGCGAAGGCGGGUUGCUGGGCUGAUACUGACGCUGAGGCGCGAAAGCCAGGGGAGCGAACGGG